rnacentral:rRNA from 1 species
CCUACGGGAGGCUGUAGUGAGGAAUAUUGGUCAAUGGCCGGAAGGCUGAACCAGCCAAGCCGCGUGAAGGACGAAGGUGUCAAGCAUUGUAAACUUCUUUUGUCAAGGGACAAAAUCAUGCUCGAGAGCCUGACCGAGGGAACUUGCAGAAAAAGCAUCGGCUAACUCCGUGCCAGCAGCCUCGGUAAUACGUAGGAGGCGAGCGUUAUCCGGAAUGACGGGGCGGAAAGGGUGCGUAGGUGGUAUGGCAAGUUAGUAGCGUAACUCCAAGGCUCAACCUUGGAACUACUACUGAAACUGUUGGACUGGAGUGCAGGAGGGGCAACAGGAAUUCCUAGUGUAGCGGUGGAAUGCGUAGAUAUUAGGAGGAACACCAGUGGCGAAGGCGUGUUGCUAGACUGUAACUGACGCUGAGGCACGAAAGCGUGGGGAGCAAACAGGAUUAGAUACCCGGGUAGUC